rnacentral:rRNA from 1 species
CUUCGGGAAACCGGAGCUAAUACCGGAUAAUAUAUUGAACCGCAUGGUUCAAUAGUGAAAGACGGUUUUGCUGUCACUUAUAGAUGGAUCCGCGCCGCAUUAGCUAGUUGGUAAGGUAACGGCUUACCAAGGCGACGAUGCGUAGCCGACCUGAGAGGGUGAUCGGCCACACUGGAACUGAGACACGGUCCAG